AGCCGUAUAUACGUGUACCAGAUAUUCUCACUCUGAAUAAAUCUGUCGCUUGUCGUACAAUCUACCACCUUGUCUGAAUCGAUCCUUAACCGGCUCACCCUUCUACAUAUCCUUUUAUCAACAAGAGCAAGAUCCUGGCCUUUUUGGCGGGUCCAUUUGUAGUUUCAGUGUGGGUGUAAAAUGAGUUGAGUCGGUGAAGGUAAUCUGUAGUGGGCUUGUGAUGUGUUCUUCUUCCGCCUUGGUGUUCUUCUUCCGCCUUGGUGUUCUUCUUCCGCCCCCCCAUCUUGUUGUGAUGUAGGCAGGGUGGAGUGAAUGGUGAGACAGAAGAGUCAGUAGCUCUAUUCGGACGCGAUAAUCUAUCCAUGAUAAUAUGAAACAGGUUCAGGGAUAAAAGUGUGUUUGAUUAAAUGUUCCUAAACAAAGAGGAAGACAUAAUACCAACUGUGGUCCCCAUUCAAAUCACAUUGGACCAAUCAUGACAAGUGAAAACUAGUCAGUUCCAGAGCGGUCCAUUGUCAGAGCGGUCCAUCGUCAGAGCGGUCCAUUGUCAGAGCGGUCCAUUGUCAGAGCGGUCCAUCGUCAGAGCGGUCCAUCGUCAGAGCGGUCCAUCGUCAGAGCGGUCCAUUGUCAGAGCGGUCCAUCGUCAGAGCGGUCCAUCGUCAGAGCGGUCCAUCGUCAGAGCGGUCCAUCGUCAGAGCGGUCCAUCGCCAGAGCGGUCCAUCGUCAGAGCGGUCCAUUGUCAGAUCAAAUGGCUUCAAAUAACAAAAAGAUGAAAAUGUCUGAACCUCAUAAUACCAAGGAAGAACACUGUCACCGAUUGUCCUUUUCUAGCGGAGACUCAGGCCGAACAGAUAAAGGGGAAAUCACCUGUACCGAACCUGGCAACAUAAUAGAAGUUCUCAGAAGAAAUGAGAUCUUCUGUAAAUUAAUGAAAA